UGGGGUAUAGCUCAGUUGGUAGAACACAUGCUUGAGAUCUUGGGUUCAAUCCCCAGUACCUCAA
rnacentral:tRNA from 1 species